GACGAACGCUGGCGGCGUGCUUAACACAUGCAAGUCGAACGGAAAGGCCCUGCUUUUGUGGGGUGCUCGAGUGGCGAACGGGUGAGUAACACGUGAGUAACCUGCCCUUGACUUUGGGAUAACUUCAGGAAACUGGGGCUAAUACCGGAUAGGAGCUACUGCUGCAUGGUGGGGGUUGGAAAGUUUCGGCGGUUGGGGAUGGACUCGCGGCUUAUCAGCUUGUUGGUGGGGUAGUGGCUUACCAAGGCUUUGACGGGUAGCCGGCCUGAGAGGGUGACCGGCCACAUUGGGACUGAGAUACGGCCCAGACUCCUACGGGAGGCAGCAGUGGGGAAUAUUGCACAAUGGGCGGAAGCCUGAUGCAGCAACGCCGCGUGCGGGAUGACGGCCUUCGGGUUGUAAACCGCUUUCGCCUGUGACGAAGCGUGAGUGACGGUAAUGGGUAAAGAAGCACCGGCUAACUACGUGCCAGCAGCCGCGGUAA
rnacentral:rRNA from 1 species